AGGGAAGCUUGUGGGCCAGAGAACUGAAAGAGGUCUGCUGGGUUUCUUGAGGUGGAGCCGCAUGGCGUGACUUACAUCCAAAUGCACUUGGAAGUCUCCAAGAGUAUAAGAAGUAAGCAUGGGCCUUGCUACUCAAAACAUUUGAAUUGAUCUUUGAAGAUGUCUGGCUAUGAAGAAAAGUAAACGGAAGUGUUUCGUGAACAUUUCACUUCUUUUGGUAAGUAUAAACAAGUUUUUAAAAUAAAUAUAGUUAUCAGUGAUGUAAACUCAAAGAAGGAGAAAGUUAUGUAUAAAGUUACAGUUUUCACUUAAUAGAAGUUGUGACUUUGGCUUGUAAUCAGGAUCAAUUACUCAACUAUUAGUUCUCCCUGCAGAAGCAUGUUCUCCCCUCUAUGGCUGG
rnacentral:lncRNA from 1 species